GAAGCUUCACAGCCUAUUUCUUCAAGAUCUCCUUCUGCAACAUUUGGAACCCUAAAAAGUAACAAAAAAUCUUCAUAAAAGUCUCAAAUCAAACUUGUGAAUUUCAUAAUCUCCAAUAAUAAAAAAAAUGGUGAUUUCUAGAGCUAAGAAAUUGUUUUCAAGAAGUUUUGCUUUUCUCUCUUUAACUCCGCUGCGCAUUUGCGUAGUCCGAAGUGGACCUGCUGGCUUUUACACUGCCGAGAAGGUUGCCGACGCCGUAUGGAUUAGUCCGGUUCGGUGUGGCACCUGAUCAUCCUAAAACUAAGGGUCGAGUUCCAGAGCGAACCAAUCAACCGAUCACUGUGAGCCAAGGGACGUCCAAAACUAGCCCCGGUGAAUUAUGAGAAACAGUCAGAGUUCUGAAGAGUUAGCCCAAAAGUCUCACGCAUGAGACUGUCUUCGCCCUUUUGUCUUCUGUUUAUAGUUUUGUUUUGUUGGCGAAAUCAUCGGACCAUUGUUGUAUAUAAGUCUUGGGUUUGACUGACUUAAAUCUGGAUGAUCCUAUAUGUACAGUGUUUUGUAUUA